rnacentral:rRNA from 1 species
AUUGAACGCUGGCGGCAGGCCUAACACAUGCAAGUCGAGCGGAUGAAGGGAGCUUGCUCCUGGAUUCAGCGGCGGACGGGUGAGUAAUGCCUAGGAAUCUGCCUGGUAGUGGGGGAUAACGUCCGGAAACGGGCGCUAAUACCGCAUACGUCCUGAGGGAGAAAGUGGGGGAUCUUCGGACCUCACGCUAUCAGAUGAGCCUAGGUCGGAUUAGCUAGUUGGUGGGGUAAAGGCCUACCAAGGCGACGAUCCGUAACUGGUCUGAGAGGAUGAUCAGUCACACUGGAACUGAGACACGGUCCAGACUCCUGCGGGAGGCCACAGUGGGGAAUAUUGGACAAUGGGCGAAAGCCUGAUCCAGCCAUGCCGCGUGUGUGCAGAAGGUCUUCGGAUUGUAAAGCACUUUAAGUUGGGAGGAAGGGCAGUAAGUUAAUACCUUGCUGUUUUGACGUUACCAACAGAAUAAGCACCGGCUAACUUCGUG